rnacentral:rRNA from 1 species
UGCGUAGGCGGAAGAUUAAGUCAGUGGUGAAAUCCUGCAGCUCAACUGUAGAACUGUCAUUGAUACUGAUCUUCUUGAAUACAGUUGAGGUAGGCGGAAUAUGUAAUGUAGCGGUGAAAUGCUUAGAUAUUACAUAGAACACCGAUUGCGAAGGCAGCUUACUAAACUGUGAUUGACGCUGAGGCACGAAAGCGUGAGGAGCGAACAGGAUUAGAUACCCUGGUAGUCC